GCUGAUUUGUUUGUCCAUCAGUGUUAUAAGAGUGCAGUGCUAGAGUGAGUUGCAUCUUGGGUAAUGUAGUCAUCAGGUUUUGAAAAGCAGUCUCAAACAAAUGAUCCAAAUCGACUCUGCAGAACAAGAGAUAACACCUUUUUCUAUUGCGAGCAUUCUCCUUAUUUUUUCAAAACCUGGUGCCCACGUUACCCACAAUGCAACUCAGCCACUGCGUGACAUCACUGGAGCCAAUUAAUCGGAUUAAAUGCAGCUUCCUCUGGGGCCAAAAAAGGCUUUAUACUACUUCUUAUGAACAGGUAGUACUUCUCAAACUCACAUUGUUGUGUGAAAUUGGUGGAAUUACCCUUUAGGUUGAAAACGCUCAUUUUUUUGUGCCUUUUGUCUGUUUUAUUGUUUAUGUUUUUUAUUUGUUUUAGACUGUUAAUGUGGACUAUAUGCACCGUCUCUUUAUUUAUUUGUAUACUUGCUAUAUCAUUCAAAAUGUGCAACUUUUGAUUUUAGCGUCCCGACACAACGUUGGUUCUUUUCUUGUGGCGGUUAUUGUUUGUCACCUAUUUACCUCCAGAUCUGAGCAACUCACUAAUUUAGUAGUGGUCGACCGCAACCUGAAAAAACAAAAUACUCCAAAGCUGAACUAUCAAACGACGGCAAACAGAUUGAUAACAGGUGUGCGUUUGUGGUCGAGCCGCUGAGUCACUUGGGGAAAUCCAGAGAGUCAACAAGGCGGCUCUCCAAGCGGUAGCCCAGGCUGCUUGUUUGUUUCGGAGUUCGUUUCCAGGUUUAAGGGCCCGAGCGCCGCCGCUGCUCAGAGUCGGAGCCGCCAGAGUCCGAGGCUGGCAAUAAAAAAUAUAAAAUCAAAACUGGGAGGUUCUGACGGCUGCAGACAGUGUUCAAACUCGCAAGGGAUUCAGAUCACCUGUGUGCAGGGUCGUGGAGAACAACUCCUGACUGAGGAGUGGAAGCAGCUUGGAGCCGUUCAUCUCCCAGCCAAUCAUGUUGUGAGGACGCCCUUCUUGUGAAGGCUUAGAAGAGCCAUUGAGGAGAAAGCAGUCGUGCUCUGGGAGGAUGUGUUCGCCUCAGCAGGCACUUUCCAGCCAGAUGAAUCUUCAAGCUAAAGGUUUCUUUUCCUUCCCUCGGCUCUCCAGAAACAAGAUCUCAGAAAAUGAUGUGAAGACAAAAAGGCGCCUUGUAUGUACAUGUCACAUGAAUAAUAUCACCGGAGAGGAAUUUUAAUAAAAGCAUCUGAAACAAAUUAUUCAGGUAACUCCAUACGUUGACGGCUCUCUGGGAGAUCCUGGCACGUCGGCGCUGGCCCGAGGACGAGCCCUUCCCAAAGCCCCCGAGGCUCCUCGAGGGCCACGUCGUAAAAACAAACACUUACGCCCCGACAUGACUCAAGUUUUGGAGUACUCACAUUUAUGACAGUUGGUGUUUUCUCUCAAAUAUAACGUGCUG